CCUACGGGAGGCAGCAGUGGGGAAUAUUGGACAAUGGGCGAAAGCCUGAUCCAGCAAUGCCGCGUGAGUGAUGAAGGCCUUAGGGUUGUAAAGCUCUUUUACCAGGGAUGAUAAUGACAGUACCUGGAGAAUAAGCUCCGGCUAACUCCGUGCCAGCAGCCGCGGUAAUACGGAGGGAGCUAGCGUUGUUCGGAAUUACUGGGCGUAAAGCGUGCGUAGGCGGUGAUUCAAGUCAGAGGUGAAAGCCUGGAGCUCAACUCCAGAACGGCCUUUGAAACUAGAUCGCUAGAAUUAUGGAGAGGUAAGUGGAAUUCCGAGUGUAGAGGUGAAAUUCGUAGAUAUUCGGAAGAACACCAGUGGCGAAGGCGACUUACUGGACAUAUAUUGACGCUGAGGUACGAAAGCGUGGGGAGCAAACAGGAUUAGAUACCCUGGUAGUCCACGCCGUAAACGAUGAUAACUAGCUGUUCGGGCUCUCAGAGCUUGAGUGGCGCAGCUAACGCAUUAGUUAUCCGCCUGGGGAGUACGGUCGCGAAGAAUUAAAACUCAAAGGAAUUGACGG
rnacentral:rRNA from 1 species